GACGAACGCUGGCGGCGUGCUUAACACAUGCAAGUCGAACGGAAAGGCCUUUUCGGAGGUACUCGAGUGGCGAACGGGUGAGUAACACGUGGGUGAUCUGCCCUGCACUCUGGGAUAAGCCUGGGAAACUGGGUCUAAUACCGGAUAGGACCGCACUUUAGUGUGUGUGGUGGAAAGUUUUUUCGGUGUAGGAUGAGCCCGCGGCCUAUCAGCUUGUUGGUGGGGUAAUGGCCUACCAAGGCGGCGACGGGUAGCCGGACUGAGAGGUUGGUCGGCCACAUUGGGACUGAGAUACGGCCCAGACUCCUACGGGAGGCAGCAGUGGGGAAUAUUGCACAAUGGGCGCAAGCCUGAUGCAGCGACGCCGCGUGGGGGAUGACGGCCUUCGGGUUGGAAACUCCUUUCGCCAGGGACGAAGCGUUUUGUGACGGUACCUGGAGAAGAAGCACCGGCUAACUACGUG
rnacentral:rRNA from 1 species